rnacentral:lncRNA from 1 species
UAAACUGUAAAAAAAACAACAGAAAAAUAAGAAAAUAUUUUAACCUUAUUUGUUCAAAUGAAACAAAGCACCUGCACCAAUGGGAUACUUAAGACUUAUUUGUAAUAUUUUGUAAAAAUACGAAUUCUACUACGACUAUUAAAUAAUUUAACAAUAACACCUUAGAAAUGAAAUGAUUAAUGACACAACGGGAAACUACAUAAUAAUAAUUAUACAAAUAAUAUCAGCACACACACACACACACACACACACACACACACACACACACACACACACACACAACCCAUAUUUUACUUCAGUGAACUAACCUAGAAAAUUACAAAAAAUCUAAAAGUAAAUUCUCUCAUCGGUACACGCACGUAUACACGACGUGCACGCGCGCCAGUGGACAAUAAACAGGCCGGUGAGCGCCACAUGCACCUUGCACACUUCCCAGUUCGGCGCGUCCGUGUCCUGUAAGGUGUGACGUGGCCGCGUCUCUGCAGCCAAUCACUGCCAACUUGAGGCUGAUGCUGAAGGGAAAGUAACUGGUAAGAGAAGCGCAUUUUUUUCCCUCACUCUCAUUGACAUUUCAACUCCACGACGGAUCCGACGCAGAUAGAUUUUUAAUCGGGACCUAUAAUUUUGUGUCGCUGACGCGCGGAGGGAAAGACCCGCGGAAGGAGAAAGCGGCUUUACGCGAGCAGGAUACCCAAACUGACAUUCAUCCGGUUAAAACAAAUCUGAAGACCGAUGUCCACUCAUCAAAUGUGCGCCCCACUGGCUCCGAUGACGUUUCAGCCUUUACAAAGUGUGCAGACAGGUAUUAAAACAAACACUCGGUCUCUCCGCCCAACUGAUGACUGAUGUGAUGGAUCAAUAAUGGUAAAAUCACUUGGUAAGUCCUUGUUCACUGUAGCCGGGAGGUGAACACCCACUCUUGUUGUCAUUUAUCACGCGCAAAUACAGCGUGUAAUUAGCUGUUCUCGCCGUAGAAUCAAGCGCGCGUCACUCUUGAAAAACGGCUUCG